UAAGGAAUAUUGGUCAAUGGGCGCAAGCCUGAACCAGCCAUGCCGCGUGCAGGAAGACGGCCCUACGGGUUGUAAACUGCUUUUAUUCGGGAAUAAACCUUUUCUACGUGUAGGAAGCUGAAUGUACCGAGGGAAUAAGGAUGCGGCUAACUUCCGUGC
rnacentral:rRNA from 1 species